UACGUAGGUGGCAAGCGUUGUCCGGAUUUACUGGGCGUAAAGGGAGCGUAGGUGGAUAUUUAAGUGGGAUGUGAAAUACUCGGGCUUAACCUGGGUGCUGCAUUCCAAACUGGAUAUCUAGAGUGCAGGAGAGGAAAGUAGAAUUCCUAGUGUAGCGGUGAAAUGCGUAGAGAUUAGGAAGAAUACCAGUGGCGAAGGCGACUUUCUGGACUGUAACUGACACUGAGGCUCGAAAGCGUGGGGAGCAAAC
rnacentral:rRNA from 3 species